rnacentral:rRNA from 1 species
UGCCAGACUCCUACGGGAGGCAGCAGUGGGGAAUAUUGCACAAUGGGGGAAACCCUGAUGCAGCAACGCCGCGUGAGUGAAGAAGUAUUUCGGUAUGUAAAGCUCUAUCAGCAGGGAAGAGAAUGACGGUACCUGACUAAGAAGCCCCGGCUAACUACGUGCCAGCAGCCGCGGUAAUACGUAGGGGGCGAGCGUUAUCCGGAUUUACUGGGUGUAAAGGGAGCGUAGACGGUUCUGCAAGUCUGAAGUGAAAGCCCGUGGCUUAACCGCGGAACGGCUUUGGAAACUGUGGAACUGGAGUGCUGGAGAGGUAAGCGGAAUUCCUAGUGUAGCGGUGAAAUGCGUAGAUAUUAGGAGGAACACCAGUGGCGAAGGCGGCUUACUGGACUGUAACUGACGUUGAGGCUCGAAAGCGUGGGGAGCAAACAGGAUUAGAUCCCCGAGUA